rnacentral:tRNA from 1 species
UUAUUGAAUGGCUGAAAAGAAAGCAAUGGUCUCUUAAACCAACCUAUAGUACCCGAAUACUUUCAAUAA